UACGGAGGGGGCUAGCGUUGUUCGGAAUUACUGGGCGUAAAGCGCACGUAGGCGGCUUUGUAAGUUAGAGGUGAAAGCCCGGAGCUCAACUCCGGAAUUGCCUUUAAGACUGCAUCGCUAGAAUUGUGGAGAGGUGAGUGGAAUUCCGAGUGUAGAGGUGAAAUUCGUAGAUAUUCGGAAGAACACCAGUGGCGAAGGCGACUCACUGGACACAUAUUGACGCUGAGGUGCGAAAGCCAGGGGAGCGAACGGG
rnacentral:rRNA from 1 species